CUGUGAGUAUGUUAAUUUAAACUUUCACUUUUCAAGAGUGAUAAUGAUCUGCUGAUCUUCACAGC
rnacentral:tRNA from 1 species